rnacentral:rRNA from 1 species
GAUGAACGCUGGCGGCGUGCCUAAUACAUGCAAGUCGAGCGAACAGAUAAGGAGCUUGCUCCUUUGACGUUAGCGGCGGACGGGUGAGUAACACGUGGGUAACCUACCUAUAAGACUGGGAUAACUUCGGGAAACCGGAGCUAAUACCGGAUAACAUUUGGAACCGCAUGGUUCUAAAGUGAAAGAUGGUUUUGCUAUCACUUAUAGAUGGACCCGCGCCGUAUUAGCUAGUUGGUAAGGUAACGGCUUACCAAGGCAACGAUCCGUAGCUGACCUGAGAGGGUGAUCGGCCACACUGGAACUGAGACACGGUCCAGACUCCUACGGGAGGCAGCAGUGGGGAAUCUUCCGCAAUGGGCGAAAGCCUGACGGAGCAACGCCGCGUGAGUGAUGAAGGUCUUCGGAUCGUAAAACUCUGUUAUUAGGGAAGAAGAAAAGUGUAAGUAUCUGUGCACGUCUUGACGUUACCUAAUGAGAAAGCCACGGCUAACUACGUG